rnacentral:lncRNA from 1 species
AAAUCAGUUAGCGUAAUCUAAGAAAAUGCAGAACAACAUAUAAGCAGCAUCUUGACGGAGUAACAGUCCUUAUGUCUUGAAUUGGCUAUUAAAUAUCACAACCUGUUAUGCAUCCCACAAAUCAUGAAAAGAUAAAGCAGAUUCACAUAAUGAUACCGCUUCUUUAUAGAUAAAAAAUGCUGCCAUAUUUAAAUUCAAUCACAGAUAAAAGCCAGCAAAAAGAACAGGGAAAAGACUUCAAUCUUGACAUGAGAAACUGGCAGAGAAUCUUCUAAUUUGAAUGGGCUACAAGAGAGAACGAUAGAGAACACUAAGUAUUCAUUCAAUUAUUUUCCUCAUAAAUCAACUUGUUAGAAUUAGAACCAAUGUUUUCAAAACUCUUUUUAUGCCUUUCAAAUUCGGAACUAAAGAUCCAGUGAAUCAGGUGAACCUUUCAGCAUAUGCAUUGGCUCAACUAAUGCACCUUGUCAAACAGAAUAACCAUGACAAAACUGAAAUAAGACUUGAAAUACAAUCGACUAAAACAACUACGAAGCUGCAGCUUACCAAUCAGCACGUAGGAGAUUUCCAACAACUCUAUGGUUGGAGUAUUUGAACCAAUUGAUAUGAGGUCAGCCUUAGCACAACCAUGGACUAGUUGUGUGCUGAAUCCUCUAUCAGAACACCGCAGCUAAUAGUGAAAACCAUUCUAGGUCGACCACACAUUUCAAGUAUAACAUUUACAGAACUAUUAACUCACAUACUGAACCUUAUGGCUCAAUUAAACAAGUAUGAACACCAGAGCAUAGUGCAAAGAAGAUCACCAAAGAAACUGAACACAUCGUUCAUUUGAAAGCGAUGAGAUCUUGAUUCAUAUUAUACUGCAAGCCAUACGACUACUCAAGUCGAUUUCUACUAACUAAAAAUACUCAAACACAUACUACCACUGCGAUCAGAUCUAGUCAACAAGAAAUUCGAUCACAACACAAACAAACCAUCCUAGAUUGAAUCUCAUAGUUCAAAAACAAUGAAAUGAAACAGAAUCGCAUAGAAAUAAAGAGAGUAAAAUGGAACCUGAAGUUGCAAAUCUUGUUUAACGACAAUUAUAAACCUGACGAUACAACUCUCGACUCCAAAUCCUAUCGAGGUCCAAUAGCAUCUCAUCAGAACCACAAUAGAAAAUCCAACUCCAACUUCAAUUCAUCUUUUCAUAUAUUUUGAACUCAAGACAUGACCAAGACAGUAAAAAAUCUAUCCCUUUUUUAAAAAAAAACUUUUAAUGAACUCCACCAGAAAAAAGAAGCAAACUCAGACAAAUUUUUUCCACUUUUCCCCUCUCAUUCUAACACAAUGAAACAGACAGAAUUAAACUUAAAAAGAGAAUCGACUCAUUUUUUUGGGAAUCUUUUCUAUAUUUUCCACGAGAAGACACAAAGAGAUGAGAAUCGGCCCUUUUUUCCUGAAAUCUUUUUUUAGCUCCAUCUCCUUUUGAAAACAAUUUUCUGAUGAAUGUGGGGCUUGGAUUGAGUGAAAUUAAUCCAACGCCUCACACUCAUCUAGAAAAUUAUUUCCAGAAGCUUCCAAUAGUGAGAUAAAACUCAAUUUGAGCAAGUAGAAGGAAUCUUUCAUCAGAGACCGUUAGAAAUGGUGAUGAGGAAAGAAGGAUGAAUGCGUGAGGAGAGGUUUGAGGCUCACUCUCUUGGAUUUGGACUAAAAUUGAGGAUUGGUUUGUGUUCUUCUUUGGAGAAGACGAACAGUAGCGUUAGAUUUAGGGCUUGUG